UGGGGAAUCUUGCGCAAUGGGCGAAAGCCUGACGCAGCGACGCCGCGUGGGGGAAGAAGGCCUUCGGGUUGUAAACCUCUUUCAGCAGGGACGAAGCCACUCGGGUGAAUAGCCCAGAGAGUGACGGUACCUGCAGAAGAAGCCCCGGCUAACUACGUGCCAGCAGCCGCGGUAAUACGUAGGGGGCAAGCGUUGUCCGGAUUUAUUGGGCGUAAAGAGCGUGUAGGCGGCCAGACAGGUCCGUUGUGAAAACUAGAGGCUUAACCUCUAGACGUCGAUGGAAACCGUCUGGCUAGAGUCCGGAAGAGGAGAAUGGAAUUCCUGGUGUAGCGGUGAAAUGCGCAGAUAUCAGGAAGAACACCCGUGGCUAAGGCGGUUCUCUAGUACGGUACUGACGCUGAGACGCGAAAGCGUGGGGAGCGAACAGGAUUAGAUACCCUGGUAGUCCACGCCGUAAACGAUGGGUGCUAGGUGUGGGGGGUGUCGACUCCCCCCGUGCCGAAGCUAACGCAUUAAGCACCCCGCCUGGGGAGUACGGCCGCAAGGCUAA
rnacentral:rRNA from 1 species